AACGAACGCUGGCGGCAUGCCUAACACAUGCAAGUCGAACGAGACCUUCGGGUCUAGUGGCGCACGGGUGCGUAACGCGUGGGAACCUUCCCUUAGGUUCGGAAUAACUCCCCGAAGGGGGUGCUAAUACCGGAUAAUGUCUUCUGACCAAAGAUUUAUCGCCUUUGGAUGGGCCCGCGUUGGAUUAGCUAGUUGGUAGUGUAAAAGCCUACCACGGCGACGAUCCAUAGCUGGUCUGAGAGGAUGAGCAGCCACACUGGGACUGAGACACGGCCCAGAAUCCUACGGGAGGCAGGAGUGGGGAAUAUUGGACAAUGGGCGAAAGGCUGAACCAGCAAGGCCGGGUGAGUGAUGAAGGCCGUAGGGUUGUAAAGCUGUUUUACCCGGGAUGAUAAUGACAGUACCGGGAGAAUAAGCUCCGGCUAACUCCGUG
rnacentral:rRNA from 1 species